AAUAGAUGAAACUAUCCUCAAUGUCAUCAUGGUUAAUACAUAUGACAAAAUGUCUCACGCCAUGAACCAAUCACGAAUGGAUUCAUAGAAGACGAACCAUGAAGCAUCAUUAAUUGUAUGUUAAACAACCUCCUAGUCAUGAGGAGGGAAGAUAUGAGAACACCAUGGCGAGCCUGGAUCCUUUGGAUGCCCGCAUUUUUUCGAUUGCUAAAGGGACUCAAAGCCUUAGAAUGCCCCCAAGAGAACUUCCCUACCCUCAAGUAGAAGAUCAACCAAGGGAACCCACAAACCAAGACAUCCUCCGAUUGGAACAUUGCUCCGAGAUCUAGUGGGGUCAAUUUCUCAGGAAAUGUCAGAAGGAUUGUAAGCAAACCAUAAGAAUCCUUAGCCCAUCUGGAGAUCAUUAUUUCAAGACUGCAUUGGUGUCAAAUUUGUUAGAUUAUGCACUAGUAUCUUAAUACUAUUUAUAUUUAAUUAUUACAUCCUAAAUGUGCAAGAAAUACCUAUAGGGUCACAUGCAUAAACCCACUAGAAUGUAUUAUAGUGCCUUAUUGAAACAAGUUCAUUAGAUAAACACUUACUGGACCACGUUCAUUAGAUGAGCCUAAUAGGCAUUGAUAAGAAUUAAAGUUAGUCACCUUUGGAUUAGGGCUUAUAAACAGAGCAUGCAUGAGAUGCUCCAACCAUGGUUAGACAAUUUUCUCUGACUCUUUCCUCUACUAGCACCUCGAGAUGCAAGGGUUUCUAGAGGUAGCGUUUGGUGGACUUCUUUUAUAAAUGAAGUUUCAAUUGCUUCGUGUGCUCACAUUGUCAAGAGGUUCCCGACAAAAGUGACUCCUUUCAUCAUCUCCUUUGUGAGGACCAGGUCGCACUUAGGAUCCACAGGUGGCAUGGACGAUAGCAAUGCUAGGCCACACAAGUGGUUGUCACGGAUGAUGACGUUGAAGGACGAAAGAUUGAAUUGAACGAUGGUGGUAAACUCACAUGUAAGAUUGUCAUAUGACAUUUAACGUGCCAGGCAGACACUUCCGUCAAGUCUCACUAACGGGGAUGACGUAAGAGUUAACGUACUUGACUUUUUCAUAUUUAGAGUAUUUAAUUUUCUUUUUUCAAGGAUGAAAUCACGCUAUCAGGGACUAAUUUAGUCCUUUACUCACUUGUAUCUAGACUUAAUAUUUCACAUACAAGUUAUCAUUUAUAAU